UACAGAGGUGGCAAGCGUUGUUCGGAAUUACUGGGCGUAAAGGGCGCGUAGGUGGCUUGGUAAGCGUGUGGUGAAAGCCUGGGGCUCAACCCCAGGUCUGCCGUGCGAACUGCCAAGCUUGAGCAUAGUAGAGGCAGGUGGAAUUUCGGGUGUAGCGGUGGAAUGCGUAGAUAUCCGAAAGAACACCGGUGGCGAAGGCGGCCUGCUGGGCUAUUGCUGACACUGAGGCGCGACAGCGUGGGGAGCAAACAGG
rnacentral:rRNA from 1 species